rnacentral:lncRNA from 1 species
UCGACGGGGUGAGGAAUGCGGUGCUGUGGACGUUAACGAUCGACGGGGUGAGGAAUGCGGUGCUGUGGACGUUAACGAUCGACGGGGUGAGGAAUGCGGUGCUGUGGAUGUUAACGAUCGACGGGGUGAGAAUGCGGUGCUGUGGACGUUAACGAUCGACGGGGUGAGGAAUGCGGUGCUGUGGACGUUAACGAUCGACGGGGUGAGGAAUGCGGUGCUGUGGACGUUAACGAUCGACGGCUCAUGAAAGAAACCCUCUAUAUUUGGAGACUCUGAGCGGGACCACGCUUCACAGUUGGCAGCAAUAUUGUUUUUCUUGACAGUGUUAAAGCGUUGAUGGAUGAUAAUGGUGAUGUAUGUGUGCCAACAUUGAUUUGUAAUUAUGAACGUUGUAUGUGUGGGGUUGUGCUCUGUUGUUCCAGUGUGCAAGUAUAGCUGAAGAACACAUUUAAGACACCUCUAGGUGGCACUCAUAUGUCAAUCAAUCUGUGAAAGGCCCAACAUCAUGUAAAAAUUGUCAUGAAAUUGUCAUGAAACAAUUGUUAGAAUUCUCAAUGAAGAGUACCAUCGGGACUCAAUGUCUUUAUAGGAGGCCCAUCAAUAGACUAACUCUGAAGGAGAGAGAGAAAGGGGGAAACUUGCCAAGGCACAGAGUAGGGGGAUGUUGCCAUUCCUUUCAUUUCCAAAACAAACAUGAGAUGUGAACAUUGUGAACCAGAUGGAUUUAAUGUAUCUGGUAUUCGAACAAGAUCAGGCCUGGAUGUACUCUGGCUCUGUUCAGCUCUACAAACCUCUAUGUCAUGUUUUCACUAUCAGGACUCUCAUAACAAAGCCUCCAUAAACACUUUAUAAAGCCUAUAUAGAUUAUGCCGAAAUCAUUCAUAAGUACAUGUCAUGGGUGGCAAAAGAGUCAGGCCACAUUUGUCAAAGAACUAGACAUUGUUAUGUCUCUCUGUAGAUUAAAGGCUACUGUUUAUGUCAGCCUUGCUUGCCAGGUUUGAGAUGUACAGCAAUCUACAUACUGUAUGUGCAUUCGGAAAGUAUUCAGACCCCUUGACUUUUUCCACAUUUUCUUACGUUACAGCCUUGUUCUAAAAUGGAUUAAAUCUUUUUUGCUUUCAUCAAUCUACACACAAUUCCCUAUAAUGACAAAGUGAAAUUAGAAAUAUUUGCAAAUGUAUUAAAUAUAAAAACAGACAUACCUUAUUUACAUAAGUAUUCAGUCCCUUUGCUAUGAGACAAAAUUGAGCUCAGGUGCAUCCUGUUUCCAUUGAUCAUCCUUGAUGUUUCUUCAACUUGAUUGGAGUCCACCUGUGGUAAAUUCAAUUGAUUGGACAUGAUUUGGAAAGGCACACACCUGUCUAUAUAAGGUCCCACAGUUGACAGUGCAUGUCAAAGCAAAAACCAAGCCAUGAGGUUGAAGGAAUUGUCCGUAGAGCUCCAAGACAGGAUUGUUUCAAGCCACAGAUCUGGGGAAGGGUACCAACAAAUGUCUGCAGCAUUGAAGGUCUCCCAAACUGAGCAAUUGGGGGAGAAGGGCCUUGGUCAGGGAGGUGACCAGGAACCCGAUGGUCACUCUGACAGAGCUCCAGAGUUAAUCUGUGGAGAUGGGAGAACUUUCCAGAAGGACAACCAUCUCUGCAGCACUCCACCAAUCAGGCCUUUAUGGUAGAGUGGCCAGAUGGAAGCUACUCCUCAGUAAAAGGCACAUGACAGCCCGCUUGGAGUUUGCCAAAAGGCACCUAAAGAUUCUCUGGUCUGAUGAAACUUUCGCCUCAAUGCCAAGCAUCACGUCUGGAGGAAACCAGGCACCACUCAUCACCUGCCCAAUAUCAUCCCUACGUUGACGCAUGGUGGUGGCAGCAUCAUGCUGUGGGGAUGUUUUUCAGCGGCAGGGACUGGGAGACUUGUCAGGAUCGAAGGAAAGAUGAGCGGAGCAAAGUACAGAGAGAUUCUUGAUGAAAACCUGCUCCAGAGCGCUCAGGACCUCAGACUGGAGCAAACAGGACAACCAACAACCCUAAGCACACAGCCAAGACAACGCAGGAGUGGCUUCAGGACAAGUCUCUGAAUGUCCUUGUGUGGACCAGCCAGAGCCCGGACUUGAACCGGAAUGAACAUCUAUGGAUAGACCUGAAAACAUCUGUGCAGUGACGCUCCCCCUCCAACCUGACAGAGCUUGAGAGGAUCUGUGGAGAAGAAUUGGAGAAACUCCCCAACAACAGGUGUGCCAAGCUUGUAGUGUCACCCAAGAAGACUUGAAGCUGUAAUUGCUGCCAAAGGUGCUACAGCAAAGUACUGAGUAAAGGGUCUGAAUAGUUAUGUAAAUGUGAUUUCAUAUAUAUAUUUUUUUAUACAUUUGCAAAAAUAUUUAAAAACCUGUUUUUGCCUCGUCAUUAUGGGGUAUUGUGUGUAGAUUGAUGAGGAGGAAAAAACAAUUUAAUCAGUUUUAAGGCUGUAACGUAACAAAAUGUGGAAAAAGUCAAGAGGUCUGAAUACUUUCCGAAUGCACAGUAGGUUACUGUUUACAAAUGCCCAAACUGCACUACUCCCUCUACCACUGAGUAUCUUUGUGGUUCAACCCUAUGCUUAAGUCAUCUCUGUUUUGAAAGACUAGAAUGUUUCUCUGACAUUUUUUGUUUCAUGUUUGGGUUGUGAGUUGAGACAAAACGGGCUAUGUGUGUGUACAUACAGAGCUGAUCUCUCAUUCAUCUUCUCAAGAAGAGCUUCCACCACAUCCUGUCACUCUGUUGUCGUUCAUGGCCCUGGAAUUCUUUGGAAUAAUAUGAUAAGUGAAAUUCCCACGCUAGGCGUCCUCUUUUCACAGCUUUAGGACAUUCCAGAGAAUCUGCACAGCCAUUUGGCUGUGAAGAGAUCACACGGGUGUUCCUGUUGUGCCAUGACUGAUCUGAGGAGGAUGAGGGGAGCUUGACUUCCAGGCAUGACCCCACUCUUCCAAUACUAUUGUUAUGGAGAGGAAGUGGUGCUUAUUGUCUUUGCCCCUGUGGGCCCAGCCUAGGCUACUGGGGUUAGGGUUAGGGUUAGGGUCAGCCUAGGCUGGGGUUAAGGUUAGGGUCAGCCUAAGCUGGGGUUAGGGCUAGGGUUAGGGUCAGCCUAAGCUGGGGUUAGGGCUAGAGUUAGGGUCAGCCUAGGCUGGGGCUGGGGUUAGGGCUAGAGUUAGGGUCAGCCUAGGCUGAGAUUAGUAUAAGGGUUAGUCUAGGCUGGGGUUAGGGUCAAACUAGGCUGGGGUUAGUGUUAUGGUUAGGGUUAGCCUAGGCUGGGGUCAGACUAGGCUGGGGUUAGGGUCAGACUAGGCUGGGGUUAGGGUUAGUCUAGGCUGGGGUUAGGGUCAGACUAGGCUGGGAUUAAUAGUAGGUUUAGCCUAGGCUGGGGUUAGUGUUAGGGUUAGCCUAGGCUGGGGUCAGACUAGGCUGUGGUCAGAUUAGGCUGGGGUAACUGUCAGCCUGGGUUGGGGUUAGUGUUAUGAUUCAGUCUAGGCUGGGGUCAAACUAGGCUGGGGUUAUGGUCAGACUAGGCUGGGGUUAGUGUUAGGGUUCAGUCUAGGCUGGGGUCAGACAAGGCUGGGGUUAGUGUUAGGGUUCAGUCUAGGCUGGGGUCAGACUAGGCUGGGGUUAUGGUCAGACUAGGCUGGGGUCAUGGUCAGACUAGGCUGGGGUUAGUGUCAGCCUGGGUUGGGGUUAGUGUUAGGGUUCAGACUAGGCUAGGAUUAUGGUCAGACUAGGCUGGGGUUAGUGUUAGGGUUCAGUCUAGGCUGGGGUCAGACUAGGCUGGGGUUAUGGUCAGACUAGGCUGGGGUUAGUGUUAGGGUUCAGUCUAGGCUGGGGUCAGACUAGAAUGGGAUUAUGGUCAGACUAGGCUGGUUAGUGUUAGGGUUAGCCUAGGCUGGGUUUUUUAUUUAUUUAACCUUCAUUUAACUUGGGGUAAGGCUGGGGUUAGAAUUGGGGUCAGCCUAGGCUGGGGUUAGGGUUGGGGUCAGCCUAAUAUGGGGUUGGGUUAGAUUAGGCUGGGGUUAGUGUUAGCCUAGGCUGGGGUUAGGGUUGGGGUCAGCCUAGGCUGGGGUUUAUUUCAGCCUUAUCUGGGGUUAGAGUCAGCCUAGACAGGGGAUACUGUUAGGGUUAGCCUAAACUGGCAUUAGGGUUAGUGUCAGCCUACGCUGGGGUUAGGUGUGGGGUUAGCCUAGGCUGGUGUUGGGUUCAGCCUGGGCUGGGGUUAGGGUUGGGUUUGGACUGGGGUUAGGGUUGGAGUUAGCCUGG